rnacentral:lncRNA from 1 species
AAAGGCACCAUUUAAUUCUUUUAAGAGAAGGAGCCAUUGCACCUGAAUGGAUUCUUUUUCCUGUUGUGCCUUUAUAUAGGAGCAAGAUGCUUAUUAGUGUGGAAAGCAAGAGAAAAUGGACAGAGAACAAGAUAUUCAAACCAAUGCAGAAAAAGGAAACAUUUAAUAUUUAAAUAAUGGGGAUGAGGUUAAUAAUUUCUCAAUUCCUAAAUUUUACUGUAUAGUUUGACUGUAGAAAAGAUGUGUUCAUCUAAUUCACUAUUCUCCAAAUACAGAAUAGUUUCUCUAUGAUAAAGCACUGGCAUCUUAUCAUGACGGAGAGGGUAGUAGCCUUGAAUGAUGUUUUAACUGGUAAUUGCUUUUAUAUCAAACACUUUUCAGCUGAUUAUGAACAAGAUUCAGCCUAAUUUUAAAGCUAAAAUUAAAAAUACGUGGGGCCUCAGUUUUACCUAUAAACAUGUAAUGAAAAGGUGUUUUUAUUUUUUUCCUGUGGCCUCUCAAGGAAGAAAUGAUUCUAUCUUUAACACGUUUUUAUUUAUUUUAUGAAUGGGCAAAUAUCCUAACAAAAAGAAACACACGUCUUACCAUUCAUCUUGGGAGAGAAGGCUAUUGCUUGAUAACUAAGGAAUACUAUUUUUGAAGCACCUUUACAGUACUUGACAUGUCAGUUAUGUUUUCAAUGUUCAGCCCUAUGUCAGCCUGCAGGAAUUUCUCAUCUGCCCAUGUCUGUCUAUUCAUAUUGGUAAGUUUCAGCACAGCCCUCUUUAAAACUUCAUUGUGUUACUAAUAUUUAAUUUUUAAGUUUUAAAAUCUAGCACUUCUGUGCUAGAUCCUCGAAUCAAUUUUUACAUUCUUUUGAAAUUUAUAGUAAUAUUUUUGCCUCAUCCCUAUACUCAAUAAUUGGCAGUGAGCUAUAUUAUCACUUAAGUAACUUUAUUACCAAUUGUGCUAUAUUCUACCAUCACAAAGUAUUCUUUUAAGGCAUUCUUCAGAUACUGUCAUUUUCAUUGGUGUCUUCCAGAACGAUUCUAUAAAAACUCUGUAAGAUUAGCCCUUUUACUGUUAUGUGAAAGAAACAGGGUAACAUGAUGGGCAAAAAACUUGAGACUGAAAUUUUACGUGUAACACUGUCAUGUGUUCAUUCAAAAAAAAAAUAAUUUAACUUCUGUGUGUUGCUAUCUCUGCCUUUAAAAUACAGUAGUGGUGCCGUAUCUCAUGUAGACAGGUUGUGAAAUCCAAAAAAUGUAUUUUACAUGUUCUCGGUUUUUAAGUCUUACAAGGUUCUUUUCCAGCUAGAAUCUUCUUUGAAGAACAGGAAACAAAGAAGACUUUUCCUGGCCUCCUCUUAGACUCUGGAGUAGGGUAACUAAAAGAUAAAUCAGCUACUUCUUAAAAUUUCCAACUUCCAAUCAUAUCAAGAAUAACAUUUCAAACAAAGCAUACCAAUGAAAAUUCAAGGUAUCUUGUAACUUCCCCCCCACCUUUUCGGGAGCUGGGAGGGGUUACCAAGCUGUUCCCAAAGCUGAAGGAAAAGAAGGCAUAGUGUGCCUCAGCAACUUUCCUGAGCUCCGUAUUUCCUUGACUGCAGUUUGUGUUACCUAUAAAGGGAGAUUUAUCAUAUCUUGGUGCCAAAGCUCAAAAAUUACUGGGUAAAAUAUAUACAUCCCCAUGUAUGCUGCUUAAAUACACACAUGAACAUAUAAUUCAAAUUUUCACUGUGCUAUAUUUAAGUAGGUAAGACAAGAAAGACAAAAUCUCUGAAUUGAAGCAGAUAUGAAGCAUAUAAAUGAUAGUACUUCCUUUUUAUUUAGUGCCUUUACUUUUUGAAAUUUUUGCACGUAAUUUUAUUUCAUCCUGACAACUUUAAAUAGUUCAUAAGACAAGUAUACACUUUAUAAAUGUCUAAGACACAGAGAGGCAAAGGUAAAUGCUUAAAGGUUGUUGGACUAUAAUGGCAAUUAGCUAACUUCCUGAAUUAUCUCCUUUACAGGAAUUCCCUUUUAAAAUAUUAUAUACAGAUAUAUACAGACACACACAAGAAGUAUAUAUUCAUAAAUAUUCUUAAAAAUUAAGGUUAUCAAUAUGAAGUGUGUCAGUCCCUUGGAGGAAUUAGUUUAACUUCGUUGUAGAUGGACCAGAUUUGAAAUGAGCAAAAAGUCUAUGCCUAAAUUUUUCAAAUAAAAAGAGCAUUGAAAAACAUCUUGAUUUCCCUCUCCUUGCCCCCUACCAAUCCUAGUAGGAUUGUGCUUUCAAUCAGAGACUCUGCCUUCAAUCUGAGUGACAUCAGACUCAGAGCCCACACUUUAAGGCAAAAAAAAAAAACAAAAAACCAAAAAACAAACCACCACCGGCUAAUAUCACCCUUGUUUCCAACUAAUUAGGAAUUACUUCUUAAGUACCAAAGUUGCCUCUCCCACCUGAUUUCCAUAAAGACCUGAUUUACUACACUUAUUCUGAAAACUGCAAUUCAUACUAACGUAAUCUGACUGAUGAGGUGAGAGUAUUACCAGUACUGAAAAACAUUUUCCCAAUUACAGUUUACUUUUAGGGUCCUGGGAAAAACAGACAAGGAGACAAAACAGAAAUCUCUGGGCUCUUAAUAUUAGUUGUUAUUGACUAAUCAGCAUCUGCUAUGCCUGGGGACUAAAUUCAAGCCUGACUCACAGAAGAAAACUAUUAAUGAUUUUUUUUUUAAUACAAGCAUCUUUUCUCUUUUAGCUGCUUCCCACAUUUAUCAUCACCAUGCGAACACAAUAUAAAAGCAGCCAGUAUUAUUAGGUAACACAGUAAGUUUUCUCACCCCUUUCUCUUCCAAGUAGGCAGGGCCAUAAUUCAUGAUUCUUUAUGUAUCACUUAGAAUCCCUGUUUACCUAGAUUUUUAUGCCAAAUAGGGAAAGUGUAAAUUUCCAAAUCUGCUUUUCCCAAAAACAUACCUUUUCCUUAGAGAAAGGGCCCUAUUACUGGCCACAAAAGGAAUUUCCUCCAAAAUUAACAUCCUUAGGCUACUGUGACUAUCUGGGAAUGAAAGUUACACCAAGAAACUCUUUAUGCAAAUCAUUCAGACUUGAGUUAGAUACAGAACAAUGACUACAGAUGAGGCACUUAGAGUUUUCUGUCCUUCUGAGUUUACGUUAAUUAUAUUUGAACAUGAAACCCAAAAGGCUAUUUAAUUCACAAUAAUAUCACUUCUACACAAGCUUUACUUUAGUAAUUCCUCAGCACUAGGACUGGAGUUGGAAUAGUCUAUUUCAGUUACGUUCACAUACAUCCUGGGUAAGUACUAGAAGCAGGCCACCCUCGAAUGUUUUCUUUUUUUUUUUUUUUUUUUUCCACGUUACUUCUAGUAAAAGAGUAAGUAUAUUCCACUUUAGGUUAUCCAGAGAGAAAUACUGUCGCCAGUAGUAUCGGGGAAACCCCAUGUAUCUCCAACAAGGGAAACCAGGACCUUGGAUAGAAACUAUAUGAUUGGGGUCUCGCUUUGUUGCCCAGGCUAGUCUUGAACUCCUACCAUGUAGCAGUCCUCCCACCUGGGCUUCCCAUAGUGCUGAUAUUACAAGCAUGAGCCACUGUGCCCAGCCCACAUAUGCACUUUUAUAAAAAAUAAAAAUUAUCCAAAAAUAUCCUUUAACCAUGUGAUUAAUCAAACAUGAGAACUCAGGAAACAAAAAAGUACAAAAGCUGAAGGAGUAUUGACACCACUGUAAUAUGGAAGCUGUCUAAACGUCGUCACACUGCUAAUUAAGACAACAUAAUUUAAAAUUUCAGUAAGUACUUUAAAAACUUCAGUAAUUACAAUAUUAAUAUGUUCUUACAAUUUACAUCGAUAAUUACUGAAAAGAGGAAGAGUAAAAAUGUAACAUAUGCCUAGCAUUUGAUUAAAAGAGUAUCAAAAGUUAGUCUUUUUAAUUGCGUGUUUUUAAAAAGAUCAGCUAUUUUUGGUAAGCAUAAAAGUCAUCAUUAUAUGUUUUACCAUAAUCUGUAAAUCCAGAUUCCUAGAGGAAACUCAACAUCUACCUCUGAUUGUAACUCUCACCAAACUAGGCAGAAGGGAACUAAUAAAGGGCAACUACAGAAACGCUAUAGUCUGUGUCAUACUUAAUGGUGAAAGCCUUAAUGCUUGCGUUCCUGCUAAGAUCAGAAACAAAACGAGCGGUCUUUCUCACCAUUUAUAUUCAACACUGUACUGAAGAUUCUGGAAAGUGAAACAUAAUUUGAAUUCUGUUUUCUUCAUCCUCUUGCCUUACACCAAACUAGCA